UACGGAGGGAGCUAGCGUUGUUCGGAAUUACUGGGCGGAAAGCGCACGUAGGCGGCUUUUUAAGUCAGGGGUGAAAUCCCGGGGCUCAACCCCGGAACUGCCUUUGAAACUGGAGAGCUAGAAUCUUGGAGAGGCGAGUGGAAUUCCGAGUGUAGAGGUGAAAUUCGUAGAUAUUCGGAAGAACACCAGUGGCGAAGGCGACUCGCUGGACAAGUAUUGACGCUGAGGUGCGAAAGCGUGGGGAGCAAACAGG
rnacentral:rRNA from 1 species